CAGUGAUGUACAAAAUGACAAAAACCUCCUCACUGCUCACACUCACUUCUGCUUUCACACAACACCAGAAAGAACAAAAACCUCAACUUCAAAUCAUUGGAACUGAAGUGGAAACUCACUUAAUGUUCACUGAAGUCACUUUGAAUUCUUCACAUUUAAAGAUCACAGAUACGGUACGACUUUUUAUUCCAUUUAUUCCACACAGUUACUGUUAUUGUGUAAGACACAACAUUACCGCACCAGUAUUUUACUAAACACAAGUAUUCUGACCGUUCAUUUUUAGUUUUGAUUGAAUUUAAGAUGCAACAAAUGCACAUUUUGACCAUCAGUCUUCAUAUCAUAACCCAAAACCACAAGUUCUAGCUUUAAUGUUGUGGCCUUGAUGAAUAGUGGAACAUUACAUGAACUCUGGAGCAGGUUUUCUUUAAGGACUUCUCUGUAUUUGCCUGUAUUCAUUCUCUCUCCCAGUUCUUGCCCCUGAGAAACCUUCCCACAGCUUGAUGCUGCCACCACCAUGCUUCAUCAUAGCAAUAGUACUAGCCAGUAGAUGUUCAUGAUCUGGUUUACAUAGAUGUGGUACGUGGGAGUUCAGCCUAGAGUUCAGUUUUGUCUCAUCAGAUCAGAGAAUGUAGUUUGUCAUGUUCUCAGAGACUUUUAAGUGCCUGUCGUAUGGCUUUAACUCAGGAGUGGUUUCUGUCUAGCCACACGACCCUACAGGCUUGGUAGAUGAAGUAAUUCCGAGAUGGUUUGACCCCCAGCAGGUUCUGUUCUCUAUGUGGAGGACUUCUACAGCUCUAAUUAGCAUGUUCACUGGGGUUUUAAUCACCUCCCUGACCAAGGCCCUUCUAGCAAUAGUUACCGAUUUUGGUCAGACAUUCAGCUGGAAGAAGAGACCUGGUAGAUCCGAACUUCUUCAAUUUCACAAUGAUGUCAGAUAACGAUGUCCAGGAGAUUUCCCAGUAAAGACGUGACCGUGAGUUGGCUCGUGGACGGGAACUCGGUCACCAGUGGAGUCAUCACCGGCUCUGCACAGCAGCAGGACAAUAAGAAGUUCACACUGAGCAGCUAUUUGACCAUCGACAGCUGCGAGUGGGACAACGACAAAGUCAUAACGUGUGAAGUGUCUGCUGGAGGAAAAGCCUCAUCGGUGAAGAUUAACAAGUCUGAAUGCAGUGAAUGAACCAGAUUAUUGCUUUAUACAUAUAUAAAUGUUUCAGCAAUGUUUUUUAGAUGUUCAAGCUGAAUGUGUAGAAAAAUUAAGGAUAUAAACUCCUGCAUGUAAUCAAAAUAGAAGUGGAAUUAAAAUGCAGUCCUGAAAAAGAAAA